UUCUUUUAGCCAGACGUUGAUCUAACCAUCAUGAAGAACCACAAGUCAAACAAGUCAGAAUUCAUGAAUAACAUCAUCAAGGCCCAUACUGAAGAAGAAUCGGGUUCUCAUAUACAAAUUUACUCAGAUGGAUCUAACAACGCUGAUAAUGGUGAAGUCACUGUUGAUUUAUUCUUUCCAGUUUUCAAGAUCAGAAAAGGCUUUAGAAUUCCAGAUGACAGCAUUCACUGCAGAGAUAUCAGGGAUCAUUUUGGCACUUUGAUGGAUGAUGGACAACAAACUGGUCGAGUCAGUCUUAUGUAGCGAUUCAUCAGCUGUGUUGACAUCAAGCACUGUUACAAAUUCACAGAGCAGAGUGUGAGGUGGUUUUAUUUGGGUUCCAGCACAUAUGGGUGUGGAGGGCAAUGAGGAAGCAGAUAGCUUGGCACAAAGAGCAACCAAGGAGGAAAGAAUACAAUUUGAUUAAGCACACAGAAAGUCAGAUUAUGACUCUGUCAUUAACAAACUAGUCAAAGAAAUAUGGCAGAGAGUUUAGGAAGCAAAAGAAGAGGGGGACUGAUUUUGAUAUUUAAGGUAAAAUGGGAAAAGUAAGAAGGCACUUCGGUGGUGCAAGAAGAGACUCAAUUGUUGUAACCUGGCUAAGACUCAGACACUGCAGCCUGAAAAGUGAACUGGCUUUGAUUGGGAAGCACAGAGAUAGGAACUGUGAGUGAGGUGAACUAGAAACUGUGAGAAAUGUUCUUAAGUGUAAGCUCUACUCAUGCCAACAGAAGAAACAUUAGAGACUAGGAGCAGCUGGACGAACUGUUUUUAAUCUUUGCUUUCUACUUAACAUGGAGGAGUGGACAAAUAUGAAGAAACUUCUGAACUUUCUCAUGACCACAGGACUGCAUAAGAAAAUAUCGAGGAUUCUCUAAGGACUAUGAGUAACAUCCAGUAGGUGGCAGCAAUACGCCAGUGAUGCGUCUAGUCCGCCUAAUUCAAUGAGGAAGAAGAAAGUAACUCAGUGUUUCUGCCGGAACUUCACAGUGUGACACCCGGCGGAUGUAAACAAAGAAGCAUGAGCAGAGUUAGCUUCACUGCUGUGUGGACUGAGCUAUAAAACGGCUGUAUUAUAGUAUGAAUGAGAAAUAUCAGAGCGAUAAAGUAACGAUGUGUUCAGUUGAGUAUCUGAGAGAGUUGAUCAGCGACAGACUAACUGCUGCUGCUGGAGAAAUAUUCACAGAGUUUGAAAAAACCAUCGUCCAGUACCAGGAGGAGAUCGAUCGUCAGCGCAGACUGCUGGAUGUCAUCUGGAAACCACACAUCCCCUUACAACCCAUAGAGCUCCCACAGUCUUAUGUCUGUGAGAAUGAGAAGACUGUCGUUGACCAUCAGCCCCAUGACCAGGAGAGAAACUCCAUGGUGGACCAUGAGGACCCAGAGCCUCUAUGGAUUAAAGACCAGCAGGAGAAACUCUGCACCAGUCAGGACCAAUCAAACCCAGAGUUUUCUCAAAUUAAAAUGGAACAGGAAGAAUUGUGCACCAGUCUGGACCAAUUAAACUCAGAGUUACCACAAAUUAAAGUAGAACAGGAUGAACUCUUCUCCGGUCAGGAGGAAGAGUUAAUUGGUUUGAAACAGGAGACUGAUACCUUUGAGGUGACUCCUGCUAAUGAGGAAAGUGACCACAGUGAACCAAAACCAAACAGUGAUCAGUUUCUGUUUCACAUCUCUUGUGUAGCUGAGAGCCCAGAUCAGGAAGGAUGCAGGGAUGUAGACUCAGGAUCAACUAGAUGUAUAGAGCAGAAACCAAGACAUCAGAGUAGCAGCAGUCACAGUAAUGAUGUAGACAAUGCUCCAUUGUCAGAGAGACAGUGUGAUAAUGACAAGGCAAGAAAAUCUGCAACAUGCGAGAUCUGUGGAAAAGCUUUUAGGCAUGAAUCAACUUUAAUCAUACAUCACAGAACCCACACAGGUGAGAAGCCGUAUUCUUGUGAAAGGUGUGGAAAAAGCUUCAGUCAACGGUACCAUUUGACUGAACACAUGAGACUUCACACAGGUGAGAAGCCGUUUUCUUGUGGCACAUGUGGAAAAAGCUUCAGUCAACGUUCCCAUUUGACUGCCCACAUGAGAUGUCACACAGGUGAGAAGCCGUUUCUAUGUGGCACAUGUGGAAAAAGCUUCAGUCAACGGGGCUCUUUGACUGACCACUUAAGACGUCACACAGGUGAGAAGCCAUAUUCUUGUGGAACCUGUGGAAAAAGCUUCAACCGUAGUCAUCGAUUAAAAGUCCACAUGAGAAUCCACACAGCUGAGAAGUCGUGAUCCUGAAACAUCUGUGGAAAACAUAAUGUCAGAACUAAGCUUCAAACAACAUGGAAGAAUUGGUAGAGGUUAAAAGUAUAUGUUUUAGAUUUAAAGCACCUUUAGUCUGUGCUUCAACAAUUGUGAGGAAGUAUGUCAGCAAUCCUUGAUGAUUAGACCAGAUGGAGUCUGGACUGUGGUGGUGGUGGAGCAGGCAGAAGAACCAAACUGAAUGUCUGGAUGGAUAUGGUAUUGGUACAGACUGCUACAUUUCUGCUAUCAUGACAUCCUUCAUCAGCAGAGCAGUGAUUGGAGAUAUUGUGAAGCUGUUUGGAACAUUUUCACAUCCUGCUGAGAGAACAUGGCUGUUCAGGUGUGAACAUACUGCUGGAAUCCACUCAGCUUGAGUUCUGCUGUCUUUCAAGUAAAAGGAGGCGACGAGAUACUGAGACAUUGUGACAGUAGGACACAACAGAGUGUGUCAAUGCUGCAGAGGAGAUCUGGAUGUGAAAUAAAGUUGUAAUAAAACAUGUACAGCUCCAUGACUGCUUCAUGAAAUGUUUUGAAUGUUUUCAAACAGAUGAACAUUUACAGGUUGUUUAAUAAUGAAUGUAACAUUGAAGAGCCCCAGCAAGAAUAUCUCUGAGUCAGAUAUCAAAGACAUAACCAACAUUAUUAUGUUUUCAACCAACAGCCAAGUGGUUUUACUAGUAGUAGCUGAUACGCUCCUGCAAAAUUCAAAACCAGAAAAGUUAAAAACAGGUGAAGCUGUGCUGCAGUUCCUGCUGGUUGGAUAAAGGUCUUAUGCUAUUUAUUUCUUCUAUUGUCACCAUAUAGGUCAUCUGUGUGAUUUGUUAGUAGGAUCUCAUUGUGUCGUCAUACAGCACAUUGAACCCUUGUAUUGUCUUAACGUCCUGAACACUCCUCCUGUCCUCAGGGUCAAAAAUGAACUGCCUCCACUGAGCCUCUAAAAUAGAUCAGCUUAAUGGAAUUUUUAACCAAAAAUGUGUUUUACAUGAAGAAACAACCUGCAUUCAUCACACACUUUGUGAAUGCCUCUGUUUUUGCUUCCUCAGAGAAAGUAGAAAGACUGUAUUUAAUAAGUGGACACUAUUCAUUUUUAUACCAUUGUUCAUUCUGUAACCGUUUUCUUUCUUUAAGUAGAGGUUUAUUAUCACUAUUAUUGCUGCUAAAGGUACUGCAUAGUUGUUAACAUUUCUUGUUUUGCAAGAGAUAAUACUUCUAAAGCCUAAUAAAGUACCAGAAAUGUGCAGAAAUCAA